GACGAACGCUGGCGGCGUGCUUAACACAUGCAAGUCGAACGGAAAGACCCUGCUUUUGUGGGGUGCUCGAGUGGCGAACGGGUGAGUAACACGUGAGUAACCUGCCCUUGACUUUGGGAUAACUUCAGGAAACUGGGGCUAAUACCGGAUAGGAGCUCCUGCUGCAUGGUGGGGGUUGGAAAGUUUCGGCGGUUGGGGAUGGACUCGCGGCUUAUCAGCUUGUUGGUGGGGUAGUGGCUUACCAAGGCUUUGACGGGUAGCCGGCCUGAGAGGGUGACCGGCCACAUUGGGACUGAGAUACGGCCCAGACUCCUACGGGAGGCAGCAGUGGCGAAUAUUGCACAAUGGGCGGAAGCCUGAUGCAGCAACGCCGCGUGCGGGAUGACGGCCUUCGGGUUGUAAACCGCUUUCGCCUGUGACGAAGCGUGAGUGACGGUAAUGGGUAAAGAAGCACCGGCUAACUACGUG
rnacentral:rRNA from 1 species